AUUGAACGCUGGCGGCAGGCCUAACACAUGCAAGUCGAACGGUUGAAGGCCGCUUGGUGCUGGAGUCAGCGGAGGACGUGAGUAUAGUGCCUAGGAAUGUGCCUGGGAGUGGGGGAUAUCGUCGGGAGACGGGCGCUAAUACCGCAUACGUCCUGAGGGAGAGAGUGGGGGAGCUUGGGACCUCACGCUAGGAGAUGCGCCUAUGUCGGAUUAGCUAGUUGGUGGGGUAAAGGCCUACCAAGGCCACGAUCCGUAACUGGUCUGAGAGGAUGAUCAGUCACACUGGGACUGAGACACGGCCCAGACUCCUACGGGAGGCAGCAGUGGGGAAUUUUGGACAAUGGGCGAAAGCCUGAUCCAGCCAUGCCGCGUGUAGGAAGAAGGUCUUCGGAUUGUAAAGCGCUUUAGGUUGGAAGGAAGCGGAGUUAGUUAAUACCUUGCUGUAUUGACGUUACCAAAAGAAUAAGCACCGGCUAACUACGUG
rnacentral:rRNA from 1 species